CGUCUCCUCCACCCUCCUCCUUUGGUGUGGAUUUGCCCAGGCACCCAGUGCCUGGGCUUUUUCU
rnacentral:ncRNA from 1 species